rnacentral:rRNA from 1 species
UACGUAGGGUGCAGGCGUUAAUCGGAAUUACUGGGCGUAAAGCGUGCGCAGGCGGUUUCUUAAGUCAGAUGUGAAAGCCCCGGGCUUAACCUGGGAACUGCGUUUGAAACUGGGAGACUAGAGUGUGGCAGAGGGGGGUGGAAUUCCACGUGUAGCAGUGAAAUGCGUAGAUAUGUGGAGGAACACCGAUGGCGAAGGCAGCCCCCUGGGCCUGCACUGACGCUCAUGCACGAAAGCGUGGGGAGCAAACAGG